GAAAAAAAAAAUGCAAAACACUUUUUAUAAGGAGGGAGUUUAUCACGAUCUCAUUGUCUCUCAAUAUUCUCCUCUUCUUUCAUGAAAGUCCUCUUUCUCUUCUCAAACCAAUUCUCUCUAUCUCAAUUUUCAAAUCAAAAGACAAUUUCGUCUUUCAUCAUAACAACAAGCAAGCAUGAAUAUCCAAACAAUCAAACAUACUCACCCAAAAUAUGAUAAAAGAGGGAAAAAUGAAUCUACCCUCUUGACUUCUCAUGGCGGCAAUGGUUACCCAACGACGACACAGUCAAUGCUGGGCGACAGAGUUUGGUGUGAACGACGUCUACGGCGGGCGUGGUCGACUCUGUAGCUGCUACCGGAACAGAUGUCGCGCGGAGGAGAGUGCGGAUGAACGAAGGUCAGUUGUUGGCGGUGGUGCGACGUUGAUGGAAUCAAAACAUUGCCAAAUUCAAAAGAAUAUAGGCCAGUAUCAGCUCAAUAGUGAGCGAUUCACGGUGGUGCUUUGAUUUUGUUUCAGAUUCACUCUAUUUUCACUGCUUUUGUUUCAUUCUUCUCUUUUUUUUGUUAUGAUGUUGUGGUUUAUUGUUCAAUAGCGAUGAAGUGUUGUUUAUGAAUAACUUGUUGGUGAAAAUCUAGUGAUGAAUUUGGAAAGAUUGAAAAUAAAUUGUUUAUGUUGUGUAUGGUUUAGUGUGUUUGUGAAUGAAAGUUAGUGAAAGUUUUAAUGUUAACAAGUUUUGUGAUGAUGGUGUUGUUAUUGCUUUGAAUUUUUUUUACAGGUUUUGGUGAUGUUAGUGUGUUACUGUUAAAAAGAAAUUACAGGUUAGAAAUUGGGAUGGUGUUAGUGGUGGAAAGUUAAAGGUUGUGGGCUUAUGGAGAUUGGUGGUGGAUGAAUGUUCAAUAUGAUUUGAAUGUCUUAAUCUCAUGAAGACCCGGAGGUACAUCAGGUCGCAUGAGCUUCAAUCAUUGAUGAGGAUCUUCGAUAAUGACUGGUUGACUACGACGACGCUUACGACCAAUGAAAACGCAACAUUAGGAGUUUUAUCCACCUUUUCGUGGUCUUGAAACUCUAAAAUUGGUAUAUCUUAUUUAUUUAUAUUGUUGUUGACGAUUUUAGUUAAUUUCGUGGUGGACCCCCUUUAUUGCUAGAAGAUUUGAUACCAACAAAGUCAACAAUGAAGGGUAAGAGACAAUCUGGAUGUUAGAGAAGCUAUGAAAUUUUUGGCGGCUGAAUCAAAAGAUGUUAUUCGUUUGAGUGUAUUUAUUGUUAUGGUUAUUAACUUAUAAUAAGAAGGAUUUUGACUGUUGAAAUUUGUAAGAAUCAUAAGUCAAUUCCUAUAGACGACAAUAUUAUUCUGAUAUAGAAUCAUAAAUGCUUAGUGA